rnacentral:rRNA from 1 species
CCUACGGGUGUCUGUAGUGGGGAAUAUUGGACAAUGGGCGAAAGCCUGAUCCAGCCAUGCCGCGUGUGUGAAGAAGGCCUUCGUGUUGUAAAGCACUUUCAGUGGGGAAGAAAGCCUUGGGGCUAAUACCCUCUAGGAAGGACAUCACCCACAGAAGAAGCACCGGCUAACUCCGUGCCGCAGCCGCGGUAAUACGGAGGGUGCAGCGUUAAUCGGAAUUACUGGGCGUCAAGCGCGCGUAGGCGGUCUGAUACGCCGGUUGUGAAAGCCCCGGGCUCAACCUGGGAACGGCAUCCGGAACUGUCAGGCUAGAGUGCAGGAGAGGAAGGUAGAAUUCCCGGUGUAGCGGUGAAAUGCGUAGAGAUCGGGAGGAAUACCAGUGGCGAAGGCGGCCUUCUGGACUGACACUGACGCUGAGGUGCGAAAGCGUGGGUAGCAAACAGGAUUAGAUACCCGUGUAGUC